CCUGCACUGGGCAACCGUCACCGACGCUGGCCUCUACUCUCCCUGCCGGAGCCUGGAUAACGAGUUCAUUUUCCACUACAAAGGCACCAGUCACUGGUCUGACGGCUCUGCCGCGGGGCACACAGCGCAGAGCACGGCAGACCCUGGCAGGCACCUUCCACGCCAUGCCGCGCAAACGCCGAGGCCGGCGCGAAACGUACCUCUCCUGCCUUUUGCCAAAGUGCCUCAGUGGCUUUUCCCUCCUGCGGAGGAGAGAGCCCUGCACGGGGAUGCCAAAAGAGGACUGAAGGAGAAGCUGAGGCUGCACAGCGCCAAGGCGGUGGAGCCCUGCAAGCCCGUGCGUCCCCAGGCGUCCCUGACCGAUCUGGUCGGCCGGGAGCUCUCCGAAUGCCGGACGAGCCGGGAGUACAAGAACGGAUGCUCUGUGAACUGCUGCGCGGUGUUCGUGGAGCACGCCGCCUUCGGCCCCAGCCCUGCAUCAGGGCCGGGGAAGCCGAGGCCAUGCUUGUCGCGCUGGAUUACCAGUCCGGAGGACAUCAAGCAGGAGGCUCGGAGGAGGUUGCAGCUCCGGAGGCAGAACAGCUCUCCCAAUCUGACUGUCCUGCAUGCCUGGGAAAGCCAAGAGAUUGCCAAAUCCAGAACAGCCGAGUCCCUGAGGGGGUGCGAUAGGGACAUUGACACCAAAGGGACAUUAGAGCUGAGCAAGAAAGAGCAUUGCAGAGGGAGGCUCUACAUACCCACCUUUGAGGAGUUCAAGAGGAUGAGGAGCAAAGAGAUGUGUCCAUCUGUCGGCAGCCAUGGGCCAGCAAAGCACAUGAGCGAGGGGCUGCCUUCCAGCCAGACCCUGGGACGAGAGAGCAAGGUGGAUGCCUGUCUAGACUCUCCACAGGAAGCCCUGGAAACCAAACCAGCCCAGGAAACCGCCGUCGUGGCCGACGACUAUGACAGCGUGUUUCAUGAAGGCCACGUCCCCUCUGGCUUUGCCCAUUAUCCAGACAUUACAACCAUGUGGGAUGGCUUCAGCACGAUGAGCACUUCUGGGGCCUGCCAGCACCUGCUGAAGGACGAAACCUUCGAGAUGUCCCCCAUCUGCUCGAGCCCGAUUCCCAGAUCACCUUUGCAGUCAGUAGCACGCCGCAGGGAGGGGCAGGUCUUCGGUGACAAGCCGCAGGGACUAGACACAAAGCAAUUAAGUGGUAUCCUUCACUUUGCCGAGCAGUCGCUGGCUUCUGAAGCCCCAUCUUCUUGUUGUCCGUCGCUGCUAUUAGAGGCCACAGACCUGUCAAGCUAUGGAG
rnacentral:lncRNA from 1 species